rnacentral:rRNA from 1 species
CCUACGGGAGGCAGCAGUGAGGAAUAUUGGUCAAUGGACGAGAGUCUGAACCAGCCAAGUAGCGUGAAGGAUGACUGCCCUAUGGGUUGUAAACUUCUUUUAUAGGGGAAUAAAAUGUGCCACGUGUGGGAUUUUGUAUGUACCAUAUGAAUAAGGAUCGGCUAACUCCGUGCCAGCAGCCGCGGUAAUACGGAGGAUCCGAGCGUUAUCCGGAUUUAUUGGGUUUAAAGGGAGCGUCGGGGGAUUGUUAAGUCAGUUGUGAAAGUUUGCGGCUCAACCGUAAAAUUGCAGUUGCAACUGGCAGUCUUGCGUACAGUAGAGGUGGGCGGAAUUCGUGGUGUAGCGGUGACAUGCUUCGAUCUCACGCAGAACUCCGAUUGCGAAGGCAGCUCCCUGGACUGCAACUGACCCUGAGGCUCGAACGUGUGGGUAUCAAACCGGAUUCGCUACCCUUGUAGUC